GUGGCUUUCCGUUCCACCCUUUCUCCGUGGCUGACCCCGGCGGGAGGACUCCUGACGGUGACCCGGCGAUGUUGUUUAGCAGCUCCGUUCGGGCUGGACUCAGUAUCCCGGGACGUAGCCCAGAUUCCAAGUGGAGCUGCCACAAGGGGAUAUCCUAUACGCGAAGACCCUAUCGGUCCCUGGGAACCCGGAAGUUGCUGGCAGCCCUGCCUGGCCCUUUGGUCACGUCGACUGCGACGUAGUGGGUGACGCACGCGGGGCGGCUCUGGCGGAGGUGAAGUCGGAGGGCCGCGCGCGCAAAGCCGGCGUCUCAAGAGACGUUUCGGUGAAGUUCAGCUCCCUGCCGCGGUGUGUGCGCGAACAUCUGUGCCGGUUUUUACGCGGCGCUCGCGUGAGCGCACGGAAGCAGGAGGAGCAGAAAGCGGCUGGAAAAGCAGAGAAGCCGCCUCCAUGCUGCCCCGGCAUCCCCGCGAAGGGAGCGUUCAGCGCUUACCCAGUUUAGUUCUUUGCGUGGACUGAGUGAGAGUAGCAGGCAAACGAGCAGAUACGGUUUCACUGGCCAUUUCAUUGCCCUCCAACCACCACCCCGCACCUCUUCCUUACAUGACACUGGGAAAAGAAGUGGGAGUCGGCGGGAGGAAAAUGCUGGCCAGGUCUGAGAGUCAACCUGGGGCUCCCUGGGCUCCUCCGGGCGCAGAAUUCUGAGCCAGACAGUGUCCUUGGCAGCUCUUCGCGAUCAACCUGGGGACGGAUCCUCUGGAGCUGGCCUGUUUCCUGCCCAACUGCCGCCCUUGCUGAGAGAUUUUUAGUGAAGAUCCUCUUUCCCUAACAGCCAGCUGGGUCCGGUUAUGUUUUGACUUGAACAUUUUGUCAUAUAUAGUAUAUACCUUUUUUUAGACUGGAAGAAAGGCGUCGUUACCUCACUUCCUACCUAACUGGGACACUGAAGCAAGAGCAAAGAGUAAAUCAGAACCUCAUAGAGAAUAUCAGAGAAGUAGAAUUUUUUUAUGCCUGCCUGCGACAUUUUUCAUUGUAGCAUAUCAGAGACCUAGGGUUCUUAAUCCGGCACAUUCGUACUUUUAGAGUAACAGCUCACAGACUCUGGUAAGAAGUCAAACUGAGCAGGAAUUUGUGUGGAGAAGUGAAACUGUUGGGUCAGUUUUGAAAGAACAGUUCUUUUUCUGCAGUAGUACAGUGAGCCUUGGAACUAUAUGUGUGAGCCAGCUCGGUACCAGUCAUGUGAGAAGAACUCUGCAAAUCAUUUUGAGUGUUCUCAGAAGCUAUGAAGCGCUGUAUCACAAAUGUGAGGAGAGCAAGUGCUACCCUGGGAACUAAAGCAGGGAGAGAGCAAAUUCCAUAGCAGAGGUCAACUCAGCCAUUUCAAUCGCAACUUAGAUCCAAUACCCAUCCGCCCCUUGGCUCCGUGGGUGCCACAGGAAGCUCAGAGUUAAACAGCACUGCGGCAGCGGUGAGGAGAGGCUCCUGCUGGCAUCUGCUGAUGGGUGCACCUUUCCCAUCGGGGCCUUUGGUUAUGGACAUCCAGUCUCCUGGCCGAGAUUUCACAGGCCGCAUGAGCCUGGUCGUUCAGUCUGCACUGCUGUCUUUGGAACCUGUCCCCUUGUCAGGUGUCAAAGGGUGUUUAUAUCCCCCCCGCCUCCUGUGCGCCUUGGCUCUGCCUCCAGUCUGCCUCUGGAAUCAGAGUGUGUGUGUGUGUGUGUGUGUGUGUGUGAGAGAGAGAGAGAGAGAGAGAGAGCAAGACAGAGACGGAGACAAAGACAGGGAGGGAGGGAUAUCUGGCUAUUAAAUAUGCUAUACUUAUUUA